rnacentral:lncRNA from 1 species
UGAUUGUAGGCUAUUUUGUACAUCAUUAAUAACAUACAAGGUUUCUUUAUUGUGUCUGACCCUGGCAUAAAAGUUUUAGAGGCCGGGCAUGGUGGCUCACACCUGUAAUCCUAGCACUUUGGGAGGCCAAGGCAGGUGGAUUGCCUGAGCCCAGGAGUUCAAGACCAGCCUGGGCAACAUGGUGAAACCCUGUCUCUACUAAAAAUACAAAAAAAUUCGCUGGGCAUGGUGGCAUGUGCCUGUAAUCCCAGCUACUUGGGAGGCUGAGGCAUGAGAAUUGCUUGAACCUGGGAGUGGAGGUUGCUGUGAGCCAAGAUCGUGCCACUGUACUCCAUCCUGGGCAACAGAGUGUGACUCAGUCUCAAAAGAUAAUAAAGAUAAUAUUUUUUUAAAAGUUUGAAAAAAAAGGUGAUAGCUAUCAACAGGUAUUAUUUUGGGGGGCUCCUGCUGUUUGCUAAGUACUGUGUCAAGGGCUUUACUUGCAUAACCUCAUUAAUUAUUCCUAACCCUAAGAAAUGAGUACAAUUAUUCCCAUUUUAUAGUUGAAGAAAUCAAGGAGCAGAAAUAUUCAGGAAUAUUUAGUCAGUAAUGGAGCUAGGAUUGGCUUCCAGGUCUUCCUGACGGCAAAGCCCAUGUUAUUCAUUCCAUUGUGUUGGAUCAAAAUUUUAGGAUGGGAUUUAAAAAAAAAAAUAAGGUGUGGGACUGUUACUCAAAGGAAACAGCUUCCAGGUAUUUGAUACUAAUUGUUCUUAAUUUUUACCUGAGCCAUAGCAACAUUACUGGCAGAAGCUAUCAAUGAUAUAUUUGUCAGUUAGCUAGGGCUGUGUUCUAUCCUGAGGUAGUUGUAGGCGAUGGCAUCUUUCCAUGGUCAAAGACCUCAGAUGUAGAAUGCGUAACUUGUGUUAACACAGGAGAGGGUGGCAUGUUCCAGAGCUCUAGUUCUAUACCAUGGAAGACCUCAAACCUCAAUCAUGCUUUAGACUCACAUUAAAGGGCAUCCUAAUUGGUAAUCAGUGCAUAAGGAACCAAAUAAAAUUUUAAUUAAAUGCUGUCGUGUGAAUUUUCCAGUCAUUUUAUGCCUGUUGAGACGGUUUUCUUAUUUAAAGUCCUCUUCUAGUGCUCUGCCUUCCCUCUUUAAACUUUAUCAAGAUUUUGUGCUUUUUCUCAUGUAAGGGUUUAAUUAGCAUCAUUAAAGUUUUAGUCUGCUGCAUAUUUGCUUAAUGGGCAUUUUGGUGCAGUGGAAAGAGCUUGGGGUUUGGAGUCCAAAGUGGGGAAGUUCCUUAAAUCUCUGUGAGCCUUAGUUUCUUCAUUCUGUAAAAUGAGGCAAAUAAUAU